AAUGAACGCUGGCGGUAUGCCUAACACAUGCAAGUCGAACGGCAGCACAGUAAGAUCUUGCUCUUAAGGGUGGCGAGGGGCGGACGGGUGACGCAUGCAUCGCCAACUACUUUUUCGUGGAUGAUAACGUAGGGAAGCUUACGAUACUACAUCAUAUGAUCUACGGGUUGAAUCAGUAGAUCUUCACACCUUUCCCGAUUCUAUUAGCCGAUGUCGGAUUAGCUAGUUGGCGGGGUAAGGGCCCACCAAGGCGACGAUCCGUAGCUGAUCUGAGAGGAUGAUCGGCCACACUGGAACUGAGACACGGUCCAGACUCCUACGGGAGGCAGCAGUAGGGAAUAUUGGGCAAUGGGCGAAAGCCUGACGCAGCAAUACCGCGUGGGUGAAGAAGGCCUUCGGGUCGUAAAGCCCUUUUAUUGGGAAAGAAAAGCAGCAGGUUAAUACAUGGCUGUUCUGACGGUACCCAAAGAAUAAGCACCGGCUAACUACGUG
rnacentral:rRNA from 1 species